rnacentral:rRNA from 1 species
AUACGUAGGGUGCAAGCGUUAAUCGGAAUUACUGGGCGUAAAGCGUGCGCAGGCGGUUUUGUAAGACAGUGGUGAAAUCCCCGGGCUCAACCUGGGAACUGCCAUUGUGACUGCAAGGCUGGAGUGCGGCAGAGGGGGAUGGAAUUCCGCGUGUAGCAGUGAAAUGCGUAGAUAUGCGGAGGAACACCGAUGGCGAAGGCAAUCCCCUGGGCCUGCACUGACGCUCAUGCACGAAAGCGUGGGGAGCAAACAGGAUUAGAUACCCUGGUAGUCCACGCCCUAAACGAUGUCAACUGGUUGUUGGGGAUUUAUUUUCUCAGUAACGAAGCUAACGCGUGAAGUUGGCCGCCUGGGGAGUACGGCCGCAAGGUUAAAACUUAAAGGAAUUGACGGGG